UUCUUCCCCUUACUGUUUGAGACAGGAAAAAACCACACUGUUUUUACUACUCUCACACCCAAAAGAGAAUACCUCACCUUUAGUAUCAAAAUGUGUCUGUGGUUGUUCCUACACUGACCAGUUAAACUGAGUAAAAUUACAGAACACCCAGGUGCUGUCUGACGAACAACUGCUUGUUGGUGACAAGUAAUUCCCAUAUUACUUUGGUGACCAGAGAUGAGGCAUUCUGUGUUGAGCGCUCUUUAUUGUGUUCACUGUGAACACAAAAAAAACACUGGUUUUUCCUAUCUUAUACACUCACUCACCCUAGUCCAUCCCAAGAAAAGAGAAGAGUGCCUUCUCUUUGAGAGUGUUCCAAUUCUCAUCUUCAUGUGUGGUUUUUUGUUUUUUGUUUUUUGAGAUGGAGUCUUGCUGUCACCUAACCUGGAGUGCAGUGACACGAUCUCAGCUCACUGCAACCUCUGCCUCCCAGGAUUAAGCGAUUCUCCUGCCUCAGCCUCCUGAGUAGCUGGGAUUACAGGCGCAGGCCAUCAGGCCCAGCUAAUUUUUGUAUUUUUACUAGAGAUGGGGUUUCACAUGUUGGCCAGGCUGGUCUCAACUCCUGACCUCAAGUGAUCCGCUCAUCUCAGCUUCCCAAAGUACUGGGAUUACACGUGUGAGCCACAGCCCCUAGCCUCAUGUGUUCUAAACAAAUUUUAUAUUAUAGAAAAAUCAAUAUGUCACAAUUCAAUCAUAAUUUCCAAUCAACUCACCACUCAUCUGUAACCAGGGUCCCCCUCUUUCCUCACUACUGUUUCCCUGCCUCAUUCUGUACAUAUCUCUCAUUCUCAUCUUUUUUCCUAGCUCUUGCCACCCUAGCAAAGUAAUCA
rnacentral:lncRNA from 1 species